rnacentral:rRNA from 1 species
GAUGAACGCUGGCGGCGUGCCUAAUACAUGCAAGUCGAUCGAGGAAACAACUAGCUUGCUAGGUGUGGAAAAGAGGCGAACGGGUGAGUAAUACAUAAGCAACCUACCCACGAAGACUGGGAUAAUCUCUGGAAACGGGGACUAAGACCGGAUAGGUAAUCGGACCGCAUGAUCUGAUUAUUAAAGGUUCAAAACACUGGUGGAUGGGCUUAUGGCGCAUUAGCUUGUUGGUGAGGUAAUGGCCCACCAAGGCGAUGAUGCGUAGCCGGCCUGAGAGGGUGAACGGCCACAUUGGGACUGAGACACGGCCCAGACUCC